CCAUGGCGAACGUUGGAAGAAAAAAUCGCGGUGCCAAGCCCCGAAAACUCAACGUUCACCGAAACGCGUUCGAUCAAAUGGCCACGCGUGUUAUCCACGGCGGACGGUGAAUCGGCGCGCAAAUCGAAUUACGCGAGAGACGUUUCUGACCGCACAGAGAAUCGAAGCCGGUCUGUGGAGUAUAAUAUGGGGCUGGUGGAGGUAAUUCGUCGGUCCCGGGGAUUCGAUGAAGAUCCUAAUCUAUUUAAUUCAGCUUCUGUCCACGCAUCCCCCGUGAAAGUUGCCGGCUAGCCGGCAAGGGAGAGCGAGCCGCUCGUCGCAUUUCGGCUGCUGGUCGAGGGACGCCGAAGGGAGCCGAGUGGCGGCGAACGAAACCGAGCAGAGUCGAACUCGGCGAUGAGCGCGGCUCGGUGCCGAAGGCGGCCGCAAAGCCACGCAGUUGGUCGACGAGCGCGGCACGGUGUAUCAGCGGACCGGUUUCCUCUCUUUCCUCUUUCUCUUUUCUCUUUGUCGCGCAUCCUUCGAGCAUUUUGCCAGCCUCGUGACAGCUGUUCAACCGGCUUCGAUGAUCCGCGAGACGAUCCACGGCAUUCGAGGCAAGAGCGGGCUGCAAUGGUUCACAAGGCGGUAGACUCGAGGAAAAUCGAGCCCAACGAGGAACAAAUCGAGAGGAAGGAAAAGGGGGAACUGUGAGCGAAAGGGAGGAACGCGAUUAACGG